AUAUGCUUGUCCCGAAGCUUAAGCCAUGCAUGUGCCCGAAUGACGAAGCAAGAACUGCGAUCUCAGAAUCUGCGAACGGCUCCGUAUAUCUGUUAACACCCACCGCCCAACCACCGCGGGUAUGCAGGAUACCCGCGGUAAUUCUGUGGCUAAUACGUGUGAACCACCUGGGGCCCACCGGGCGUAAGCCCGGUGGGGACGGACCUAGGUGAAGCCGCUCAACCAACGGCGGGGCCCCCCGGGGCCCUGUUGGCGGGAGUGCCGGCUAUCUGCACCUGGACCGCAGGGCUCAUUAAGGUAAGUAUUUUGGUUCCUGCGGCCGGUGCGAUGGGCGCCAGACCUAUCAACUAGAUGCCCAGAGAAUGCCUGGGCAGGGUGAUAACGGGUACAGAGGAUCAGGGUUCGAUCCUGGAGAGGAAGCCUUAGAGAUCGCUUCUACUUCUAAGGAAGGCAGCAGGCGCGCAACGUUCCCAAUGGGGAUCCCCUGAGGACGUGAGGGGACAUACCGAUGCCCGGCCUUAAAGCCGGGCAAUUGGAAUGGGGGUCCGCCAAACCCCGCACCGAGUAACA
rnacentral:rRNA from 1 species